GUUAUCUGAAAGUCCUGUCUGAUCUGUGGGUGCCUUUAAACUAUUUUCAAAUAUCUUUUCAUUUUCACUGAAGUUCUGAGCAGCAUUUUUGCCUUGCAGUUCUUCUUUACAACCACUAGAGGGCAGCAAACACCCAUUGUCGUGUCAGGUUAAACCAUGUGGCAAAAAAGGGUCAGGUUUGAAUUUGUUGUGUUUCUUUUGGGAAACUUAAAGUACACACUGUGCCAGCUUGGUGCGGCUGUAAGAGCGUCGCCACGGUGACCUCCACGACCUGCGGGGAGCGAGGGAGAGGUCGGGCAGCAUGGUAGCCACGGAAACCUCCAAGGCGUGCGGCCGUCCGCACACCGGGUUCUCCGUGGAGCAGUAGUACUCACACUGGCCGUAGAAACAGACGUUCCCGGCUGAUGGAGACAAAGAGGACACGACUUGAGCGGGAAGUCUGAGAUGUUGAAACGCAGCAGACUCGUCGUUUACACACAAACCAGGAGAGGUGAAGAAAGUCUUCGCCAGCCGGCGGUCAGUGCUCCGAGGAUGGGUUGUGUUGCCAAAUAGUGAGUCAGCUGGUCCAGGUUGGAGUCUUUCCUGUCGUACAGUUCCCAGCGAGAGAUGCCCAAGUGGAACCGCAGCCAGGGAGGGUGAGUCUCCUUAUCGCUUGUCCAAGUGAUUUUAUCAUAGCCUUCCUCCUGACUGGCGCUUUGCCUGGAGGAAAGGAUGAACAAUCACAACCACAAACGUGCCGGUUUUUGUGCACUUUUGAAAAGAAUGUGGCGCUUUCAUGUGUCUGAAUUAA
rnacentral:lncRNA from 1 species